UCAGGAUGAACGCUAGCUACAGGCUAACACAUGCAAGUCGAGGGGCAGCAUGAGAUUAGCUUGCUAAUCUUGAUGGCGACCGGCGGCACGGGUGAGUAACGCGUAUCCAACUUCCCCAUACUAGAGGAUAGCCCGGCGAAAGUCGGAUUAAUACUCUAUGUUGUAUUUAGAAGACAUCUGAAGAAUACCAAAGGUUUACCGGUAUGGGACGGGGAUGCGUCUGAUUAGCUUGUUGGCGGGGUAACGGCCCACCAAGGCAACGAUCAGUAGGGGUUCUGAGAGGAAGGUCCCCCACAUUGGUACCGAGACACGGACCAAACUCCUACGGGAGGCAGCAGUGAGGAAUAUUGGUCAAUGGGCGAGAGCCUGAACCAGCCCAAGUAGCGUGCAGGAUGACGGCCCUAUGGGUUGUAAACUGCUUUUGUACGGGAAUAAAGUGCGGGACGUGUCCCGUUUUGUAUGUACCGUAAGAAUAAGGACCGGCUAAUUCCGUGCCAGCCGCGGC
rnacentral:rRNA from 1 species